rnacentral:rRNA from 1 species
UGGGGAAUUUUCCGCAAUGGACGAAAGCCUGACGGAGCAAUGCCGCGUGGAGGUGGAAGGCCUACGGGUCGUCAACUUCUUUUCUCGGAGAAGAAACAAUGACGGUAUCUGAGGAAUAAGCAUCGGCUAACUCUGUGCCA